UGCAAUCUACCUUUAACUGGGGAAUAACCCCUCGAAAGAGGGGCUAAUACCGCAUAACACUAUUUGAGGGCAUCUUCUGGAUAGUUAAAGCUAAGGCGAUAAGAGAUGGGCAUGCGUGCCAUUAGCUAGUUGGUUGAGGUAACGGCUCACCAAGGCGACGAUGGCUAGGGGUUCUGAGAGGAUGAUCC
rnacentral:rRNA from 1 species